rnacentral:rRNA from 1 species
GUGUCAGCCGCCGCGGUAAUACGGAGGAUCCGAGCGUUAUCCGGAUUUAUUGGGUUUAAAGGGUGCGCAGGCGGGGGAUUAGGUCGGCGGUGAAAUAUCAGGGCUCAACCUUGAGAGUGCCGUCGAAACCGGUUUUCUUGAGUGCGGAUGAAGUAGGCGGAAUUUGUGGUGUAGCGGUGAAAUGCGUAGAUAUCACAAAGAACACCGAUUGCGGAGGCAGCUUACUAAACCGCAACUGACGCUCAUGCACGAAGGCGUGGGGAUCAAACAGGAUUAGAUACCCUGGUAGUCCACGCAGUAAACGAUGAUUACUAGCUGUUUGCGAUACAAUGUAAGCGGCUGAGCGAAAGCGUUAAGUAAUCCACCUGGGGAGUACGUUCGCAAGAAUGAAACUUAAAGAAAUUGGCGG